rnacentral:rRNA from 1 species
CUACGUGCCAGCAGCCGCGGUAAUACGGAAGGUCCAGGCGUUAUCCGGAUUUAUUGGGUUUAAAGGGAGCGUAGGCUGGAGAUUAAGUGUGUUGUGAAAUGUAGACGCUCAACGUCUGACUUGCAGCGCAUACUGGUUUCCUUGAGUACGCACAACGUUGGCGGAAUUCGUCGUGUAGCGGUGAAAUGCUUAGAUAUGACGAAGAACUCCGAUUGCGAAGGCAGCUGACGGGAGCGCAACUGACGCUGAAGCUCGAAGGUGCGGGUAUCGAACAGGAUUAGAUACCCUGGUAGUCCGCACAGUAAACGAUGGAUGCCCGCUGUUGGUACCUGGUAUCAGCGGCUAAGCGAAAGCAUUAAGCAUCCCACCUGGGGAGUACGCCGGCAACGGUGAAACUCAAAGGAAUUGACGGGGGCCCGCACAAGCGGAGGAACAUGUGGUUUAAUUCGAUGAUACGCGAGGAACCUUACCCGGGCU